rnacentral:rRNA from 1 species
UACAUAGGGAGCAAGCGUUAUCCGGAUUUAUUGGGUGUAAAGGGUGCGUAGACGGGAAAUUAAGUUAGUUGUGAAAUCCCUCGGCUUAACUGAGGAACUGCAACUAAAACUGAUUUUCUUGAGUACUGGAGAGGAAAGUGGAAUUCCUAGUGUAGCGGUGGAAUGCGUAGAUAUAUGGAAGAACACCAGUGGCGAAGGCGGCUCUCUGGUCUGCAACUGACGCUGAGGCUCGAAAGCAUGGGUAGCGAACAGG